rnacentral:rRNA from 1 species
UACGGAGGAUGCAAGCGUUAUCCGGAAUGAUUGGGCGUAAAGCGUUCGUAGGUGGUUUUUCAAGUCUGCUGUCAAAGCGCAGGGCUUAACUCUGUAAAGGCAGUGGAAACUGAAAAGCUAGAGUGCGGUAGGGGUAGAGGGAAUUCCCGGUGUAGCGGUGAAAUGCGUAGAGAUCGGGAAGAACACCAGCAGCGAAAGCGCUCUACUGGGCCUGCACUGACACUGAGGGACGAAAGCUAGGGGAGCGAAUGGG